GACGAACGCUGGCGGCGUGCCUAAUACAUGCAAGUCGAACGCUUCUCCGAAAGAUGCUUGCAUCUUUCAUAUGAGAAGAGUGGCGGACGGGUGAGUAACACGUGGGUAACCUGCCCUUUAGCGGGGGAUAACAUUUGGAAACAGAUGCUAAUACCGCAUAAUUGGUUUUGCCGCAUGGCAGAACUAUGAAAGACGCUUUACGGUGUCACUAAAGGAUGGACCCGCGCUGCAUUAGUUAGUUGGUGAGGUAAUGGCUCACCAAGACCGUGAUGCAUAGCCGACCUGAGAGGGUGAUCGGCCACACUGGGACUGAGACACGGCCCAGACUCCUACGGGAGGCAGCAGUAGGGAAUCUUCGGCAAUGGACGAAAGUCUGACCGAGCAACGCCGCGUGAGUGAAGAAGGUUUUCGGAUCGUAAAACUCUGUUGUUAGAGAAGAACAAGUGGGAGAGUAACUGUUCCCACCUUGACGGUAUCUAACCAGAAAGCCACGGCUAACUACGUGCCAGCAGCCGCGGUAAU
rnacentral:rRNA from 1 species